rnacentral:telomerase_RNA from 1 species
CUGUGUUAUUUGUAUCACGGUGUUUUUGAUACAAAUUAGUGACAAAACUAACAAAACUCAAAUUAACAGGUGUUGCUUGUCCGUGGGUUCAUCUAUAACAAAAGUGUAACGGACUGCUCGCAGCUUUUUUUU